rnacentral:misc_RNA from 1 species
CGUCACAAUGAUCGCGCACGAAUAAUUUGCGUUCGUCUUGAAGCUUACGUGAUAAGCUUACUAGCGCUUAUCCCAAGUCGAACGGUUCACAUACGGUAUCGUUAGCGUGAGCACUGUAAUCGCAAAAGCGUCCAAGACGAACGCACCCUUAUAGUCACACAAUUUUCCUUAUACUUGCUUGUUCAUUUCACUGGACUUAAAUACUUUAUAGCGGUCUGGAGUACUGGAAUCUGGAACCAUAGUCCGUUCUAAACUUCUGUGUCUGCAACUGCGACUGGAAUACCUAUAAAACAUUCUAUGCGGAGUGCUUUUAAGUUUUGACGCCAUCUGUGGAUCACCACCUCGUCGUUGUCGUAUUUUGAUUGACAACAGGCUUGGUCGAAAGUUUAUGUGGAUCAUAAUCUGCUGUCUUUAUUUGAAAAAUCGAUUGUCAAUAAUAUUUUAGACUAUGAAUUCGUUAUCAUUGGAAGUAUUUUGUCCAAAACAUUCCGACUCUGAAGCAUCAAUUUCAGUUAUCAUAGAGAUCUUAUUGGAAAAUAACUCUUUAAAAUUUAAAAAUAUAUCCCAUGAAUUUGGAAAAUUAGGUUUUACCAAAGUGAAAGAUUUGGCUCGAGCAACUCUUCAAAAAGUCAGCUCAGUUAAAUUUUCAGGAGAUACCCUGACGCAGCUUCAUGGAGCUAUGAAGAUAUAUGGUGAACGCCUAGAUGAGCUUCUAAACUCUGCGAUAUCAGAAUACCAAAAUGGGAAUUACAAAGAGACGCAAAAAAUAUGUAAAGAAUUACUUAGACAUAAACCAACGGAUUUAAAUGUUCUACUGCUUAAUGCUAGAUCAUUUUUCAACUGUGAAAAUUAUAAAAAAUGUAUCGACAGUUUAGAAAAAGCAAAAAAUAUUAAUCCGAAUUGUUUAGAAGUUUUAAGCACCUUUGCAUUAGUUUAUAAAAAAAAAUCUGAACAUUAUUUAGCAAAAGAAUACUUAUUUAAAGUAUGUAAUAUAAACCCUGAUUCAGUGGAUCCAUGGAUAGAUUAUGCCAAUUUUUUAUUUGAGACAAAUGACUUAAUUUCGGCUGAUUUGGCAUAUUUACGUAUUUUAAGCCUUCAACCCGAACUACAUAAAAUACGUAAUAAGUACGGAGAACUACUAUUAAAAUUAAACAAAAUAAAAAAGGCUAAAAAUCAAUUUAAGAUUGCCCACAAUAGUGCGAAAGAAUGUCCAGAAAUUUUAAACAAUUUAGCAGAUGUAUAUUAUAAGAGCGGUAAAUUUAAAAAAUCAAUUUUCAAAUAUAAACAACUUUUAGAAAUAAAUCCUCAUCUGGCAAAUGCUUGUUAUAUGUUGGGAAUGGCCCAUAAAAAUGUUACUGACUACCAAAAUGCAUCUAAUGCAUUUAAGAACGCAAUUGCAUUAGAACCCGAAAAUGUAUCUUAUUUAAGAGAGUUAGCAGUUACAUACUCUAUCUUAGAUAAUACGAGAUUGUCUGUCAAAACAUACAAAAAGUGUUUAAACCUCAAGCCUGAGGACUUUGAUUUAAAUUUAGAACUGGCUCUAGUGUAUUUGAAUAAAAUUCAAAAUUAUCAUGAAGCUGCAAUAUAUCUUGAAAAAUGUACAAAGUUAAAUCCGGAUAGAAUUGACCUGUAUGAAAAGAUUCUUACUGCAUACACAAAAUCUGACAAUUAUUUAAAUGCUUCUGAUGCUUGCAUGUCCAUGGGGGAUUUGUAUCUGGAACAGGAUGAUCAAGAAAAUGCAAGAAAUUCAUACUGUUGUGCGGUACUGAUGAACCCAGAGAAUGCAUAUGGUUAUUGGAGAAUGGGCCUAACCUUGCAUAAACUGGGACAUUCAGAUUUGGCUCUUAAAAAAUACGAACAUGCAAUAACAAUAAUGCCAAGCUUUCCCGAUGCCUAUUAUGAUAUGGGGGUAAUAUUUCAUGAACGUGGCCUUCUCGAAAAAGCCAAAGUAUAUUACCAACUAGCAAUCGAGCAUAGUCCAAACGGCCAUAUCAACGCUCGGUUGAAUUUGAAUGAUAUUUUAGAGGAACAGAUGAAAAUGAUGAGACAAUGAAAAGCAAUAGAAUAUGACAAUACACCUGUCAAGUAGAUUGAUAAUGUGGGCAUCACUGAAGCUUGAAUAGACAACACUGUCGUCAGCGUAUAGAGAAACUUGUGUGUUAGAUGUAGAUGUAAUUUGAUAUUCUACAUCUUCAAACGACAAUCUUUCAUCCUGGUUGAAUAACUUUGAACAUCAUAAUGAUUUGUCGCAAACCAAAUUUUUCGAUGCUGUUAAAGUUAUUAAUAGUGACAUACAUACAUUGGUUGACAUGAGUGGUUAUACAAAGGGUGCCCAAACUGAAAUAUUUGUUUUGAGACCGGCUCCAAUUCAAAUUUCGUGGAUUGGUUAUCUUAGUACCGGUGGUGCAAUAUUUAUGGAUUACUUCAUUACAGAUAAUAUAUGUUCUCCUCUAGAAAUUCAUAAUGUAUAUAGUAUAUACUGAAAAAUUGGCUUGUACAAAUCAUAUUAUUUUUGUUGUUGACAGAAGCUUUCUAAUUUACGACUACACUUAUGUAUCGAAGAUGAACUGGAAAGAUUAUCUUUCAACUUACCAAAAAAUAUUAAUGUUUUUUAUAAUUUUAAUUUUCAACAAAAUAACUAAAAUAGUAAAUCUUGGUUUUAAUAUGUAAAUUUUUCCAAAUUUGUACUUAAAUUUCUGUAAAAAUAACUGUGUUUAUAUAUUUUUAGAUUAUUUGGUUACAAUCUGAGAUUUGUUGUCUUAAAUUUUCAAACCUUAGCUUUAAAAAU